UAUAAGCAAAGUACAUUGUGGUUCGUUCAUGGAUUAAAUAAUUCAGCAUUUUGGACGUAAUCUGGAAUUACAUUGCUGGUUUAGGUGGUGUUUUGAUGCUCAGAAGAUCACGGACUACUCGUUGUCUGAAUGGCUCACAGAGGACUCUAAAACCAGAAGUAUGUGCAACCGUUGGCUGGACAUGAUGAAUUUUGCAAGGAAUACGUCUGAAGAAACUCUAUCUCUGAAGUAUCUGUUGAAGCAAACAGCCUCAUGUGUCUCCUAUUAUCCAAUGGGAGAACUGGAGGAACAGAGAUGUGAAGCUGUCUGCUCAGAGCUAUAUAGGAGGCCACUGACAAAUCCAAGAAUCCAAGCCAAGGCUCCUAAGUUGCAUUCUAAUUCUCUAAUCAGGAUAGAAAUUUGCCUUCUGGCAUUGCGAUGAGGUAACACACGCAGGCUCUGACUGAGAAAAUGGAGCUUCCCAGCAAGAACACAGUGGUCUGAGGUUCAACAGUGUUGGGAGUCUGGAAAAAGAUGAACCCCCAGGCACAGCAGCAGAGGUUGUGUGAGAGGAGAAACAAACAUUCUCCUCGCAUCACUCAUGCCAGCAGACUGAGCGGGAGGAAGGAAGCAGAUGUCAAAUUCUCAUGACAAACCAGGACCUGGAAAAGUGCUGAGUGUCAGGGGAAUGGCUGAACUUGAAAAUAUAAGGAUAUCUGGAAAUACACAAGCUGAGUUACAUAAGGAUUGUAUUGCAAGUGGAAUUUACAAUAUAAUGGCUCAUCUCUGCACAAGAGUGAGUCUUGUCAGGUGCAAGCAUAUGUUACAGGGAAAUCCACUGGGCUGUUGAUAGAAAGCAAAUAUUAUGUGACCCUGAAUCUCACUUGGUAUUUUAAACUGUAAGAGUUUCAGAUUUGAGCCACAAUAAGUAGGAUAUAUAUAUGUAUGUAUAUAGAAGCUUUUAAGCUCUGAGCAAGAUUUCUGCCUUGGCAAUAUUUUCACCUCAAAUUGCACAUUUGGUCCUCUAUUCUCAUAAAUAACUGUAGCCUCAAUCCAAAGUCAGAAAUCAGGUAGAGGCUUCCAAACUUUGGCAGGAAUCUGAUGCAGAAACCUUUACAAUCUUCUCUUUUCUACUCUGGCCACUUUGAGCUCCAGAACCCCUGUUUCAUCUACCCACAUUACACCUUGCUUCUUCACAGGGCUUGCCCCUUUGGAGCUUUCAGUAGGAACAGAUGCGUUCUAAGCACUGCAUGGAGAACAUCCUCAGCCCAGGGUCUUCAUUGGAACACUCCUCUGUCAGAGCAAGAGCUGGAGAGGAUGGUACAUGAGAGGCACACAUGGGGAAAAAUCUGUUUUCUUUUUUUAAUUCAGCACUUUGACCUGAAACAUCGAGGCGAGCUGUGCAAAGAUCUGCUUGCAGAGUAGAAUGCUGCAAGGUAGGAGGAGAGGCUCUGCUUAAGAGAAAAUCUGCCUUAGUCUACAAAACAAUCCCACCACAAAAUAAAAUUAAAAGUAAUGAGAUUUUCCACUGUUAACUUAAUAGCAGCAAACCACAUGUUCUAAACAAUGUUUUAAUUUUUUUAUUUUUAUUUUUAUUUUUAUUUUUGGUGUGAGGACUGGGGUUUAGUAACAAACCCCAGACUAUUAGCCCUGCCAUUUUUCCACUGCUGGAGGAAAGCGUGGACUCUUGCUGAGUUUGUAUGGUGAAUAUCUCAGAGAGAUUUGAAUCUGCCACCAGUAAAAGGCCUCUAAAUGUGCUCACAUGGAGGAACCAGCUCAAGGUAGAGGAAAUGGAAAAAAUGGGAAAAAGAAGAAACAUCUCUUUGGAUCUCUAACUGUGUUAUUUUUUUAGAUUAUAUUUCUUCUGAGCUCCCAAAAUCUUCAGUAACAAACAAGUUUUCUUUUAAAAAGUAUUAAGUUAUCAAAACAUUUGCCAGGUCCUAAUAUGAAAUCGUAGCAGUCAGCAAUGUUUAAGUUCAGCUAUAUCAUUUUGCUGAGUAAGUCAUGCUAAAACUUACAGUUUUCCCCUUAAAAUGAUCUUUCCAAAUGAGAUUGAUAUUGUGAGAAAAAAAGAAAAAAGAGAGGGACGCCUUCAUCAUAAGGAAUUAUGGAAUUAAUUUUCUUUAUACACUGUGUUUGCACAGGACAUUUUUGUUAACUCUUAAUAAAAAUACCAUUCAGCUGCUACUUUCAUUGUUUUUAUCCUGGGACCAAUACAACAUUGUCAUUAUUGGAUAUAAAGUGCUGUAAAAACAAAUCUAAUUUGUUAAGUUUAUUUUGAUAAGAAAUAAAUAUAAAGGCAGUGCAUAGUUUGUAUAGUGCUGCUA